GGCAAACAAUAGAGGAAACGCGGAGAAACAAAAGGCCAUUCGUCACGAUCUCCACGGGCUCUGUGGCGUGGUCCCUGCGGGGAGGACAUCUGGGAGGCGGUCAGGAAGGCACUGUGUUGGAAGCUGGGGAUGCAAGGUGGUGGAAGACAAGGACCCACUUUGUGAAGCUCAGUCUAAUGGGAGACAAACAAAUCCAUAAUAAUGAUGCAUAAUAAUGAGCUAAGUGCCAUGCUAGAACUCCAAGCAGAGAAACUUACAAGAGUCCUGAGCAUAAGAGAGAGCAUGCACAAGCAGGGGGAACGGCAGAGGGAGAAGCAAGCUCCC